rnacentral:rRNA from 14 species
UAAAGGUUUGAUCCUAGCCUUACUGUUAGUUUUAAUUAAACUUACACAUGCAAGUUUCCGCAACCCAGUGAGAAUGCCCCCAAAAUUUAUACACAAUUUAGCAGGAGCAGACAUCAGGUUCACUACAAAGUAGCCCAUAACGUCUUGUCCAACCACACCCCCACGGGAUACAGCAGUGAUUAACAUUAAGCUAUAAACGAAAGUUUGACUAAAUUAUAAUUAUCUAGGGCCGGUAAAUUUCGUGCCAGCCACCGCGGCCAUACGAUUGACCCAAACUAACAGAUGUCGGCGUAAAGCGUGUACAAUCCAACAACCAAAAUAAGGCUAAAACUCAAUCAUGCUGUAAUACGCUAUAGCUAACAUUAAAAAAUGCAACCAAAGUGGCCUUAAUACUGACCAAAACACGACAGCUAAGACUCAAACUGGGAUUAGAUACCCCAUUAUGCUUUAGCGUAAACUUAGAUAGUUUAAUAACGAAACUAUUCGCCAGAGAACUACUAGCCAGCGCUUAAAACUCAAAGGACUUGACGGUGUCCUAAGCCCAUCUAGAGGAGCCUGUCCUAUAACCGAUGAACCCCGAUACACCCCACCUCUUCUUGCCAAUACAGCCUAUAUACCGCCAUCGUCAGCCUACCCCAAUAGGGACCAAAAGUAAGCAAAAUCAUCAACCAUAAAAACGUUAGGUCAAGGUGUAGCAUAUGAAGAGGAAAGUGAUGGGCUACAUUUUCUAACAUAGAAAAUUACGGACUAUCUUAUGAAACCUAAGAUAUACGAAGGAGGAUUUAGCAGUAAAUUAAGAAUAGAGAGCUUAAUUGAAACAGGCAAUAGGACGCGUACACACCGCCCGUCACUCUCUUCAACAUAAACAAACCAAAUAACUAAUAAAAUAAAUAAAUAAAGAAGAGAAAAGUCGUAACAUGGUAAGUGUACCGGAAGGUGCACUUGGAUCAUC